UACGGAGGGUGCGAGCGUUAAUCGGAAUUAUUGGGCGUAAAGGGUGCGUAGGUUGUUAGAUAAGUUAUGUGUGAAAUUCCUGGGCUCAACCUGGGGUGGUCAGAUAAGACUGUCUAACUAGAGUAGAGGAGAGGGUAGUGGAAUUUCCGGUGUAGCGGUGAAAUGCGUAGAUAUCGGAAGGAACACCGGUGGCGAAGGCGGCUACCUGGCCUUUAACUGACACUGAGGCACGAAAGCGUGGGUAGCAAACAGG
rnacentral:rRNA from 1 species